UGAGUGGUUAUUUGUGGGACUUAGUCAGAUGUGGGUGGUAAAUUAUGGAACUUAGUGGGAUGUGGGUGGUUAAUUAUGGGACUUAGUGGGAUGUGAGUGGUUAAGAAAUUAUCCCAAAUUGUCUCUCUCACUCCUACGUUAUUUUCUUCCCCUCUUCUCUAUUUUUCUUCUUCUUUUUUAAUUUUUUUUGCUUUUCUCCAUUUCCAUUGGUUUUGCUUGUUGUCGUUUCAAUUUUGCUUUUGUGUAUGUGUAUAAGAUUCGCUCUUCGAUCGUAGUUCAAAGCAUGGUGUAAGUUUGUCAAGCUAUUUUUUCUGUUAUUUUAG
rnacentral:lncRNA from 1 species